rnacentral:lncRNA from 10 species
UUGUAGGGGGCUGGUCCCUCUUCUGAUGCCUGUGCCCUGUCCUCCUGAUUCUGUUCUCUGUCUUGCCAGGUGAUCUCUCUGGCCACCUCCUUGCCUACCUGAGCCUCAGCCCUGUAUUUGUCAUCGUCGGUUUCGUGACCCUCAUCAUAUUUAAGCGGGAGCUGCACACGAUCUCCUUCCUUGGGGGCCUGGCACUGAACGAGGGGGUCAACUGGCUGAUCAAAAACGUCAUCCAGGAGCCACGGCCCUGUGGAGGCCCCCACACAGCAGUGGGCACCAAGUACGGGAUGCCCUCCAGCCAUUCCCAGUUUAUGUGGUUCUUCUCCGUCUAUUCCUUCCUUUUC